rnacentral:lncRNA from 1 species
UGGGAAGUGGUUAGAGAUGCCUCAUUCAUGUUCAAGCAAGGCUCAUUUGACAUUUCAAACAUCAACGUUGAAGAAUUUGAAGUCAGAUCAAGACUUUCCAAAAAUAGCAAGUGACCUGUAAUUUGAAAUUUCCAAAAAUGGAAAGGUUUUUGACCAACUUCAACUCAAGAUUACAUCAUCAAGAAAGCUUCAAAUGAACUUUUGUC